rnacentral:rRNA from 1 species
AUUGAACGCUGGCGGCAUGCUUUACACAUGCAAGUCGAACGGUAACAGGCCGCAAGGUGCUGACGAGUGGCGAACGGGUGAGUAAUGCAUCGGAACGUGCCCAGUCGUGGGGGAUAACGCAGCGAAAGCUGUGCUAAUACCGCAUACGAUCUAUGGAUGAAAGCGGGGACCGUAAGGCCUCGCGCGAUUGGAGCGGCCGAUGUCAGAUUAGCUAGUUGGUGGGGUAAAGGCCCACCAAGGCGACGAUCUGUAGCUGGUCUGAGAGGACGACCAGCCACACUGGGACUGGGACACGGCCCAGACUCCUACGGGAGGCAGCAGUGGGGAAUUUUGGACAAUGGGCGCAAGCCUGAUCCAGCAAUGCCGCGUGCAGGAAGAAGGCCUUCGGGUUGUAAACUGCUUUUGUACGGAACGAAACGGUCUGGGUUAAUACCCUGGGCUAAUGACGGUACCGUAAGAAUAAGCACCGGCUAACUACGUGCCAGCCGCCGCAGUAAAAC